UUGUGUGCAUUGCCCUGCUGUAAUGGCUGCCUAAGUAUUGGUUUACGCUAAGGUACAUUUGUUGUUGGAAAUGCAGGUUGUAUGGUUGAUGAUUGUAUGCAAAAUGUUUUCCUAUUGUACUUUGUUGCUAUAUGGUUGCUUAAAAAGUCAGGUUGUCUUUGCAUUGAAUCAAGACCUCAAAACAUGAGCAUCAUUAACAUCUCAUGGCCAAAUGCAAACUAAGACUUCUUGUGAUGGAAGCAAGCUUGGAUGGAAGAUUUAAUGAGGUGAUGCAAUAUGAAGACUCAAGAUCCAUGAAAUUUAGGAUUUAGGUUUAGAGAAAUAGAGGGUUGAAUUUGGUCAAAGUUGACCAAAAAGUCAACUAUUGACCAAAGCCAACUUUUGGUCAAAGUGCCAAUUUUGUAAUUUUUUGUAUGAAUCUUGGUAAACGGUAUUUGUAUGAAUGAAUGAAUAACUUUAAAUGAACAAUAAUCCUUUAUGAUUCAAUGUAAAAUGUUUUGAAUU